rnacentral:rRNA from 1 species
AACACAUGCAAGUCGAACGGCAGCACAGAGGAGCUUGCUCCUUGGGUGGCGAGUGGCGGACGGGUGAGGAAUACGUCGGAAUCUGCCUAUUUGUGGGGGAUAACGUAGGGAAACUUACGCUAAUACCGCAUACGACCUACGGGUGAAAGUGGGGGACCGCAAGGCCUCACGCAGAUAGAUGAGCCGACGUCGGAUUAGCUAGUUGGCGGGGUAAAGGCCCACCAAGGCGACGAUCCGUAGCUGGUCUGAGAGGAUGAUCAGCCACACUGGAACUGAGACACGGUCCAGACUCCUACGGGAGGCAGCAGUGGGGAAUAUUGGACAAUGGGCGCAAGCCUGAUCCAGCCAUGCCGCGUGUGUGAAGAAGGCCUUCGGGUUGUAAAGCACUUUUGUCCGGAAAGAAAAGCUUAGGGUUAAUAACCCUGAGUCAUGACGGUACCGGAAGAAUAAGCACCGGCUAACUUCGUGCCAGCAGCCGCGGUAAUACGAANGGUGCAAGCGUUACUCGGAAUUACUGGGCGU